AUGAAAAUAUUAAGCUGGAAUUGCCGAGGUUUGGGGACGCCCUCGGCAAUUCGGUCGCUGUCGGAAUUACUACGACAGCAUAGUCCUGAUGUUCUUUUCCUCUCGGAGACUCACUUGAAUGAUUCGAGCGGGGAAAGAUUGCGUGUGAAGCUUGGCUUUGAUGAUAGUAUGUUUGUUUCAUCGAGCGAUGGACGGAGUGGAGGUUUGAUCAUGAUGUGCAAGAACAAUGUUAAUAUGCAACUGAAUUAUUAUCACGACAACUUUAUUGAUGUUGUGGUCAAAGGAGCGGAUCCUAGUACAGACUGGAGGUUAACGGGUAUGUAUGGUGAGCCGGUUUGGAGACAUAAGCAUCGUGCAUGGAAACGUUUCGGUGAUCUACAUGCCAAGGGUAAUGCGGCAGCGCAUGGGCUUGCUCGGGCUAGUUACAGAGGAAUUUUUUUUGAAGAGUGGCGAGAUAAACCUCCUGAUUUCUUACUCCCCUUCGUUGUAACUGAUAUGAUUAUUGUUUAA
rnacentral:rRNA from 1 species